rnacentral:tRNA from 1 species
AAGAGUGAAGUAUAAUACUUUACAUUUCAGUUACAUUGAAAAAAUCCUCAACUUAGGCUCUCUUA